GAUGGCCUUCACAAUGAGCUUAGGAUACUGAUAGCUCCACAGAGGGAGCGUGAUUUCGCUGCGUUGGUGGAAAAGGCUAACAUAGCUGAGAAAGUAAAGAGAACUGAAUGACAGAAUCGUGAGAAGGAUCGACCCAGACUUAGGAGGGAUUCUAGACCCUCGAGUGCUGCAAGUAGGUAUGUUAAAAGAGCUAGAAUGGAGGGACCGGUUCGAGCAGUUCCAGUGAAUACUUUUAGACCGCAGGCUGGCAGGGACUGUGGUAGGGUGCAUAUGGGGGAGUGCUAGA
rnacentral:lncRNA from 1 species